UACGGCCAUGUCAAGUUGAAACACCGGUUCUCGUACGAUCACCGACGUUAAGCAACGUCGAGCCUGGUUAGUACCUAGAUGGGUGGCCAUUUAGAAAUACCAGGUUCUGUAA